GCUGGUCAAACGGAACCAAGUCAGGUGUUUUAGUGAGGUUUGGUCCCCUUCAACCAGCU
rnacentral:pre_miRNA from 1 species